rnacentral:rRNA from 1 species
GACGAACGCUGGCGGCGCGCCUAACACAUGCAAGUCGAACGAGGUCUUUUAGAAAGCUUGCUUUCUGGCUGACCUAGUGGCGGACGGGUGAGUAAUGUAUAGGAAUCUACCUAGUAGUAUGGAAUAAUUGUUGGAAACGGCAACUAAUACCGUAUACGCCCUACGGGGGAAAAAUUUAUUGCUAUUAGAUGAGCCUAUAUUAGAUUAGCUAGUUGGUGGAGUAACAGCCUACCAAGGCAAUGAUCUAUAGCUGAUCUGAGAGGAUGAUCAGCCACACUGGAACUGAGAUACGGUCCAGACUCCUACGGGAGGCAGCAGUGGGGAAUAUUGGACAAUGGGCGAAAGCCUGAUCCAGCCAUGCCGCAUGAGUGAAGAAGGCCUUUGGGUUGUAAAGCUCUUUUAGUGAGGAAGAUAAUGACGGUACUCACAGAAGAAGUCCUGGCUAACUCCGUGCCAGCAGCCGCGGUAAUAC